rnacentral:rRNA from 1 species
UACGUAGGUGACAAGCGUUAUCCGGAUUUAUUGGGCGUAAAGCGCACGCAGGCGGUCUAUCAAGUCUGACGUGAAAUCUCUCGGCUUAACCGGGAGCGGUCGUUGGAAACUGAUGGACUUGAGGCGAUGAGAGGGGUGUGGAAUUCCCGGUGUAGUGGUGGAAUGCGUAGAUAUCGGGGAGGAACAUCAGUGGCGAAAGCGGCACCCUGGCAUUAGCCUGACGCUCAUGUGCGAAAGCGUGGGGAGCGAACGGG